UGAUAUAUUUUUUAAGCAUGU
rnacentral:piRNA from 1 species